UACGGAGGGGGCUAGCGUUGUUCGGAAUUACUGGGCGUAAAGCGCACGUAGGCGGCUUGGUAAGUUAGAGGUGAAAGCCUGGAGCUCAACUCCAGAAUUGCCUUUAAGACUGCCGAGCUAGCAGGUGAGAGAGGUGAGUGGAACUGCGAGUGUAGAGGUGAAAUUCGUAGAUAUUCGCAAGAACACCAGUGGCGAAGGCGGCUCACUGGCCCGGUACUGACGCUGAGGUGCGAAAGCGUGGGGAGCAAACAGG
rnacentral:rRNA from 1 species